AAAAUUUUAGUUUAAUAAAAAUAUUUCAUUUACAAUGAAAAGAUUUAAGUAAAGUAAAAAUUUUA
rnacentral:tRNA from 1 species